rnacentral:rRNA from 1 species
AGAAUCAACGCUGGCGGCGUGCCUAACACAUGCAAGUCGAACGAGAAAGUGGAGCAAUCCAUGAGUAAAGUGGCGACCGGGUGAGUAACACGUGACUAACCUACCUUUCAGUGGGGAAUAACCUCGGGAAACCGGGGCUAAUACCGCAUAAUGUCUUCGGACCAAAGGAGCAAUUCGCUGGAAGAGGGGGUCGCGGCCGAUUAGCUAGUUGGCGGGGUAACGGCCCACCAAGGCAAUGAUCGGUAGCCGGCCUGAGAGGGCGCACGGCCACACUGGAACUGAAACACGGUCCAGACUCCUACGGGAGGCAGCAGUGGGGAAUUUUGCGCAAUGGGGGAACCCUGACGCAGCAACGCCGCGUGGAGGAUGAAGCCCCUUGGGGUGUAAACUCCUUUCGAUCGGGACGAUUAUGACGGUACCGGAUGAAGAAGCACCGGCUAACUCUGCGCCAGCAGCCGC